rnacentral:rRNA from 1 species
GUGGGGAAUAUUGGACAAUGGGCGAAAGCCUGAUCCAGCCAUGCCGCGUGUGUGAAGAAGGUCUUCGGAUUGUAAAGCACUUUAAGUUGGGAGGAAGGGUAGUAACCUAAUACGUUGCUACUUUGACGUUACCGACAGAAUAAGCACCGGCUAACUUCGUGCCAGCAGCCGCGGUAAUACGAAGGGUGCAAGCGUUAAUCGGAAUUACUGGGCGUAAAGCGCGCGUAGGUGGUUCAGUAAGUUGGAAGUGAAAUCCCCGGGCUCAACCUGGGAACUGCUUUCAAAACUGCUGAGCUACAGUACGGUAGAGGGUGGUGGAAUUUCCUGUGUAGCGGUGAAAUGCGUAGAUAUAGGAAGGAACACCAGUGGCGAAGGCGACCACCUGGACUGAUACUGACACUGUGGUGCGAAAGCGUGGGGAGCAAACAGGAUUAGAUACCCGGGUAGUCC